UCUCAGGAAUGAGAAUGAAAAUUGGUGCUUUGCCCUGUUCUCCAAGGAGCAGGGAGACGAUCAGGCCAUAACGGACCCAAAAAGGAUGGUCCAAAAAGGAGCGAUCACUUCAUUCCUUGGAUCCACAGCUUUCUAACUAUGAUAACCAAAAGUUCAAUGGGCUACCUCAGGACCUCACUAGAGGUUUUCAAGGAAAGGCUAGAGGACCACUCAUCAGAAACCCUGGCUCCGGGCUGUAGAAGUUUUAUGGGGCUCAGUAUUCUGUUUGGCCGUAGUCCUUCAAGGAGCAAAAGUCUCCUGUGGGGUGCAAGUCUCUGAAUUAACCACAACAGGCUCUGCACUGCUGGACCAGAAAACUGAGAAACAGAAAGAACGUGACAGGUCACCAGGACAGGACACCCUGAGUAUGGGGGCCAGUGAAGCAUUCCAUUGAACCUGAGGAAAGAGCACAAUAUCCAGCUGAAGCCAGUUCUAAUUACCCAAAAGUCUGUUGGAGCAGACACCUAGGCUAGUGAACUGUGAAUUGCCCUGUGUGGGAGGAAGCAGAGACGUUUUGAGGUCUAGGAGAACAUGGAAACACAACAUGCUGUUCUUAAGUGGUUGUAAAGAGAAAUGAGAAUUAAGAGAACAGAAUUUAUGUCCUGCAUAGCAAAAAUAAUAAGCAGAAUAGACAAACUUAAAUCUGCAAUGGAAAGCCUCACUAAAGAAACUAAAGAGAAAACAAUAGAUUGAGAAUGCAAAAACACAGAAGUGAAGGACAACCUAAAAGAAGAGAAGCAAAAAAAAAAAAGAACAUUAAAAGAAAAUAUGUUCACUAUGCAAGUAAAACAUAUGGAUCUCAAAGACAAGAUGCACAGAGAAAACCUAAGGAUCAAAGGUCUCCCAGAAGAACAUGACAGGACAAAAAACCUUGACACCAUGA